AUUGAACGCUGGCGGCAUGCUUUACACAUGCAAGUCGAACGGUAACAGGUUAAGCUGACGAGUGGCGAACGGGUGAGUAAUGCAUCGGAACGUGCCCGAUCGUGGGGGAUAACGCAGCGAAAGCUGCGCUAAUACCGCAUACGAUCUGAGGAUGAAAGCGGGGGACCGUAAGGCCCCGCGCGAUCGGAGCGGCCGAUGUCAGAUUAGGUAGUUGGUGGGGUAAAGGCUCACCAAGCCAACGAUCUGUAGCUGGUCUGAGAGGACGACCAGCCCAACUGGGACUGAGACACGGCCCAGACUCCGAAGGGAGGCAGCAGUGGGGAAUUUUGGACAAUGAGCGAAAGCCUGAUCCAGCAAUGCCGCGUGCAGGAAGAAGGCCUUCGGGUUGUAAACUGCUUUUGUACGGAGCGAAAAGGUUCUCUCUAAUACAGAGGGCUCAUGACGGUACCGUAAGAAUAAGCACCGGCUAACUACGUGCCAGCAGCCGCCGUAA
rnacentral:rRNA from 1 species